UACAGAGGGUGCAAGCGUUAAUCGGAAUUACUGGGCGUAAAGCGUGCGUAGACGGUUAUGUAAGUCAGGUGUGAAAGCCCCGGGCUCAACCUGGGAAUGCCAUUCGAGACUGCAUAGCUAGGGUGCGGAAGAGGGAAGCGGAAUUUCCGGUGUAGCGGUGAAAUGCGUAGAUAUCGGAAGGAACACCAGUGGCGAAAGCGGCUUCCUGGUCCAGCACCGACGUUCAGGCACGAAAGCGUGGGGAGCAAACAGG
rnacentral:rRNA from 1 species